GGGGAAUCUUGCACAAUGGGGGAAACCCUGAUGCAGCGACGCCGCGUGAACGAUGAAGCCCUUCGGGGUGUAAAGUUCUUUCGACAGGAACGAUAAUGACGGUACCUGGAGAAGAAGCUGCGGCUAACUACGUGCCAGCAGCCGCGGUAAUACGUAGGCAGCGAGCGUUGUUCGGAGUUACUGGGCGUAAAGAGUGCGUAGGCGGCGAGCCAAGUUUGGUGUGAAAUCUCCCGGCUUAACCGGGAGGGUGCGCCGAAAACUGGUUGGCUGGAGUAUGGGAGAGGAAAGCGGAAUUCCUGGUGUAGCGGUGAAAUGCGUAGAUAUCAGGAGGAACACCUGCGGUGUAGACAGCUUUCUGGACCAAAACUGACGCUGAGGCACGAAAGCGUGGGUAGCAAACA
rnacentral:rRNA from 1 species